GUUCGGCGGUGCCGUGGCUCGGAGGCGCUUUGGAGGCGUUGAUGGCAUCGCUGGGUUCGGUUUGCAGCGGGUGUCCGCUAAGGGAUACGGUGUUCUUCCUGAGUGGGCACGGUUCUCGGUGCCGGGUACUGAGAAAAUACGUCUCCGUUAGAGUACCGCGGAAAGGUUCUCAGUGCGCUCUCUAUCAAGUGCUAUGAGUCUUGAUAAAUUGGAGAAGAGCCCAAGAGAAAUUUUUCAUCCCUUGAUAUAAAAGGAUUUAUUGGUUCUGGAAGAACAAGAGGGAAGUACAAGCCUAACUACUUCUAGCUCACAGGCCCGUCCAGUGAACCCAGGGACCGGUGAAUUUUAACUUUGGAGUCCCCUAUGCUAAGGAUGCUCAGCUUACAGGUGAUGAAAUGUUCAGUAAUGUAUUUGCUGCAGCUCUGCUUACCCAAGCUUUGGGUUCCUUCUGUCCCACUGGGAGUUGCCCAGUUUGGUUGCAUCUGGUGAAAUUCACCCUGAGACCUUACAGAACUAGCUCCAACUACGUGAGAGCCAUUUGCAGUUCUCUCCAGACACCUGGAGAAUGGGUGACGUUUCUGAGGAUCCGGCGAGCGUGCUUCUAUCAAAACUCAGUCUGUGAAAUUCCUGGGGAAAACCCUUCUGUGUCCUGAAGGGUUCAAACUCUGGUGAGGAUCCAGUUAUCAGGGGCUCACCUGGAUGGUUCCAGCUCCCAAAGUUAACACUUCUACUCUUGCCCUGUAGUUUACAUCUAUUGUAUUUUUGUUAUUUUGCAACAUUUUUUGUCUUUGCAAAAUAUUGUGCAUUUCACUCUUUGGAACCUCUCAGAUGGUUCUUUGGUGCAGCACCACCCCAGGGGACACUUGGCUGCUGUCCUGAAGGGUUUGGUCGCUAGAAUUGUGAAUCCUGGAGAGUUUGUGAGUCUUCUGUCCCCAGGGAGGUGUCGUGCUUUGUUUACUUUUGUUCUGUUGGUUAGGCGCUGCUUCUCGUUGCAAGUAUGAAUUUCAAACUGCCCUGUUCUUAUUUUAACUGUUUUCCUGGUUCUCUCUGUCCGGCAGGGAAAGACUCUCGUAUCCUUGUCGUCGGGCUCGGUGCUGUCCAAGAAGAUACAGAGACUAAAAAAAUCAUAAGAAGCAAAAUAUGACUGCAGGGAAAAGAAGCUGGAGAGAACAGAAGACUCAUCACGGCGGGACAGCGUGAGGACUGAAAGUGUAAGAAGAUGUGGAGGGAAACAGAGAAUCUGACAGGAGCAGCGAACGCACGAGUGCAGGAAUUUUGCUUUUUGCUUGGAUGUAAACUCAGGAGUUGAGAGGAAUUUGGGAGUGAGAAGGGACAUUUCAGAAGGAGAAGAAGAAAAAGAGGUUGUUGUUGUUGUUACAGUCCUGGCAAAAUCUUUUGUUCUAGCUAAUAAAAGAAGUUAGUUUAAAAAACAAAAAGGAAAAAAUGUAGUGUUUUUUUUUUCCUUCACUAUGAUAUUCAUUGGUGGUAUAUGGUGUGUUGUUUUAUUUCUUGGUAUUAUUAACUCUGUGUAAAUUGUUUUUUGAGUGAAGCUGACUUUCUGGAUGGGUUGGUUUGUAUUUGAGGCAGGAUUAAUUUCAGUAGGGUUCUUUCAUAGAUUUCUGAUGGGUAUUACUGGGAUUUUGGUUUUGUUUACUGUAUGUAUAAACCUAGAGCUUUGGUAGGGCCAGCUGGGCUGCUGGAGUUUUGGGUGUGAAUUUAUUAGAUGGCUUUUGUUAGAUGCAGUUUUUAAUUUUUGAAAUGUUUUUCAAUGUAGUGGUUUUAAGGUGGUUUUUAAGAAUUCAUUGUAUUGCUUUAUCUUGUUUGUAGUUGGUGUAUGAUAAGGGAUGUGGUGUGAGUUCUUGAACAUUAUGGUUUUGGUGUUCCUAAGUUCUGAUUUCUUUGUGGUUCAAUAUUUUUUUUUAUUUUUAUUUUUUGGGACAGGGGCAUUUAUAUGGUGGGUUUUUAUAGGCAAUAUGUUUUUUAAUUUAGGUAGUGAUAUUUUUUAAUAUUUUAAUAGUUUAGGUUUUUUAUUUUCAUGGUUUUAAUUAUUUUUUUUAAUUUUUUGAAAUAACUUUUAUAGAUUACAUGUUAUUAUUUGUGCAUUAACAUAAAGGUAGAGCUUUGGGGACUUUUUUUAGUAAUGUUUAGGGUCAGUUGUGCAGUUUUGAGUCUAGUGCGUUGGUUUGAUUUAAUUUUUAAUGGGUGUUUGUUUUUAUUAGCAGUUGUGUCAUUUUCAAGGUGUGUUUGAGUUUUUUGGGGUUUUUGAGAUACUGGUUUAGGAGGAAGUUUAUGAUGAGCAUGUGCGGAGGUUUUGGGCUACUUUAUAGUGGGAUCUAAAAUUUAUUUACAGUUAGGUUUAUUUGAGUUUUUAUUAGGGUUCAGUGACGUUGUGGGAUAUUUGUUCCGUUAGUAACAGAAAUAGGUUUUGUUUUGCUGUGCUGCGAUGGGAUGGGCGUGUGCUGCGUGCCGGUGCUGACAAAGGUACAGUAUUGUUGUGGCUCUGGUGCGUCGGGUUAAUGAACUGACAUGGUUUAAUGUAGAGAUGAAAAUAGAAAUAAAUAUACAUUUAAAAAUAAAUAUAACAUUAGAGUGGUAAACAUAAAUAUAGAUAACAGAUACAUACAUAAAACUAUAAUACAUGGUAUAUAAUUGUAACAUAUUAUCAUAUAGGUAAAUGAUAGUCUAUUUUAUAUAUAUAUAUAUAUACACAAAGAUAUAUAAAUAUAGAUUGUAAAUAUAAAAAUAUUUAAAUAGAGUUAAAGUAAAUUGGGUGGUUUUAUUAGGUUAUAGGCUGGGGUUUUUAAAUGAUAGCAAUAAAAUA